rnacentral:rRNA from 1 species
UACGGGGGGGGCGAGCGUUGUUCGGAAUUACUGGGCGUAAAGGGUUUGUGGGUGGCCUGCUAAGUCAGACGUGAAAUCCCUCAGCUUAACUGGGGAACUGCGUCUGAUACUGGCGGGCUUGAGGACAGGAGAGGAACGCGGAAUUCCAGGUGUAGCGGUGAAAUGCGUAGAUAUCUGGAGGAACACCGGUGGCGAAGGCGGCAUCCUGGACCGGCAUUGACGCUGAGGCGCGAAAGCUAGGGGAGCAAACGGG